rnacentral:lncRNA from 1 species
UUGAAUAUGCCAAUUUCAAACUCUAUAGUACCAUAGAUUUAAAGUAUCUCUCUAUACUUGAUCCUCACUUGGCAGCGGGUACCGUUUUCUAGACUUAAACUUUAGUAACUUGAAUUGCUGAAGAGAUUUAACACCAGAUUCAUUGUACUGAAUUCCCAAAAAGAGGAAAGAUGAUCAAGAGACACGAGAAUGCAAAAAUCUCUUUCAAAAUGCUAAAAUCUUCUUGAGUAGAGGUAAGACAUUAUAGCAAAAAUCUCUUUCAAAAUGCUAAAAUCUUCUUACGAAUUAUACUCAGUAGAGCUAGCAUAUUUCAAAAUCACUUGUCAAAAAGAUAGUUAUGGAUUUUUUUUAUAAUUUUCUAGUUUUUUUUUUUCAAUAAGAUUUAUUUAUUGAUAAUGUCCAGCUACAACACUAUUCGUAAGCAAUCUAUCUAUCCACAUUUUAUGAAGGGUUGCAGAGGGCAUACACAAUCAUGUACUCUUACAGCUAGCUAGACUGACAAAUACAAAGAGUAUAAAACUCAUACAGCACCUAGCUUGCUAAUACACCACCACAAGCAAGCAAUCAAGAGCUAGAUGUCAUUGAACUACAAUCAGGC